UACGUAGGGUGCAAGCGUUAAUCGGAAUUACUGGGCGUAAAGCGUGCGCAGGCGGUUGCGCAAGACCGAUGUGAAAUCCCCCGGGCUUAACCUGGGAAUGGCAUUGGUGACUGCACGGCUAGAGUGUGUCAGAGGGGGGGUAGAAUUCCACGUGUAGCAGUGAAAUGCGUAGAGAUGUGGAGGAAUACCGAUGGCGAAGGCAGCCCCCCUGGGGAUAACACUGACGCUCAUGCACGAAAGCGUGGGGAGCAAACAGG
rnacentral:rRNA from 1 species